rnacentral:rRNA from 1 species
UACGGAGGGUGCGAGCGUUGUCCGGAAUCAUUUGGCGUAAAGGGCGCGUAUGUGGCCCGGUCAGCGUGCGGUGAAAGCUCGGGGCUCAACCCCGAGUCGGCCGUGCGAACUGCUGGGCUCGAGCACUGUAGAGGCAGGCGGAAUUCCGGGUGUAGCGGUGGAAUGCGUAGAGAUCCGGAAGAACACCGGUGGCGAAGGCGGCCUGCUGGGCAGUAGCUGACACUGAGGCGCGACAGCGUGGGGAGCAAACAGG